CUCUAAACGGAGCGGAUAAGGAGAGAUAGAGGGGGAGAGGGAGAGGGAGAGGGAGAGAGAGUGAAAGAUUGUACUGAACGAAACCCUAGCCAUGGAUAGGUACUCUGAUAANNNNNNNNUCCCGAGAAGACCGCGACCGCGAUUCCGCCAAGGAUCACAAACACCGAUCUCGAGACAAGGACCGAGAUGAUAAGUAUCGAGAAUCUGAUUCUCUCCACCGCCACCA
rnacentral:misc_RNA from 1 species